CAAGAGGUUGGAUGAUGCGAAUACUGAGUUGAAGGACAAGCUUGGUUCGGUGACCAUGAAGUUGGACGAGGUAGCAUCAGUGCUGAAGCAGUAUCAUGAGGACUUGUUAGCACAACAAGAUGCAUACGAGAAGCUGACGGAAGCACACCAUAAUCUAGA
rnacentral:sRNA from 1 species